AUAUUACCAGUGGUGUGGCAGGCAGCAAAGUCCGAAGUCAAAGAUACUGAAAGUAAAAGAACAUGCUAGCUGGGCUGAUGGUAGCUGAAGUUCCAAAGAUCUGGAGGAUUCCAGGUUGAGCAAGACUGGUAAACCUAAUGAUGAAUGGAUGUUUAAGGCAGCUUCCUAUAGAUUUACCAGUUUAUCUAGCUGCUAGGAAUGGGGGAGAAAUUCACUUAAAUUUGCAUUUACUGGCAAAUGUACCUACUUCACACUUUCUGAAAUUAUCUGAGAAACAAAGCAUCCUGAAUUUGCUUCUGCCCAUAUUUAAUGAAGGUCAUAUUUUUGUAAUAGCUGCAUAAAAUGGGCCAUAUGUGAAAUUUGCUGCCUUGCUGAUUUUAAUUUUCCAUUAAAUCCAAUUCCAAUUUACAUCUCCCCCAAGUAUAAUCUCUGCUUAAGUAAACUUCCCCUAUUUCUUAAGCCCUUUAUGAAGAAAAUCGAGCUGUCUCUUCACUCGGUGCCAAUAGUGACAGUAAGGUGACCAUUGUGUGUUUUUCCAGGACUUCUUCAACAAAUAGGCGUUGGCCAUUUUUAUCUCAAGAAUUCCCGCCCCCUGCCCCCCAAGUCUAAAUCUGCACCUAUUAGUAUUGCCACACCCAUCUUGUAUUUGAGGCAAAGACAAUAUUUACCAGUUCUUUUGUUAGUAAAGAU
rnacentral:lncRNA from 1 species